rnacentral:lncRNA from 1 species
CGGGAGAGGAGGGGCGUCUGCCCUUGUUUCCCCCGUUAACGUUUAAUUUGGGAACGAGAUGCCCGGGGAUGCAACCAGCCCCGCGCUCGGAGGCGGCGGUCGGAGUUCCGUGCGCAGAGGGCACACAAAAGCCUCGAGGAUCAUUGCCUCGACCCCAUCCCCCACCGCGCGGCGACGCCCCCUACGGGCUGGGACACCUCCACUCUCGGACUGCUGCCGGGUUUCCCUCCGGCUGCGACCCUGGAGAGUUUGCCAUCUCCGUACCACCACCACCACCACACACAGCACCCUCAAGACUCCCUGUGAUCCUGGGAUGCACUCAACGAAGAGUGUGUGGCCCAGGAUUUGAUGGAAAUGCUACAAGAGAAGCAGGCUCUCCCCUUCUGAAAUGAUGAGUGAUAAUGACCAUACAGGUCAACUUUUCCACCACUUGGAGGGAGCCUGUCAAAGAACAAAGGCAACAGAGAAGAGAGCAGAGCUGAGGUUGGGUGAGAGGGAGAAAUUCCUGAGUGCUUGAAUCCCACAUGCCGGAAGCCGCACCACACUUGGACUUCUCAAUACAGGAGCCACUCUGCAGGCAUUUAUUGGCAGGCUACACCUAAGACUUUCUCUGCAGAAAAAUGUUCUAGAUGCACAGAUUUGGGGGCUUGAUUGACAACCUGACACCUCACUCUAAAUCCGCAUGGGUCUGUUGACCUCAGCUGAGAAACCAAGUCAUGCUGAAGACCUGGAAAUCCCAGCAGGCUGCAAACCAGCUGCAACUACAAUGGGUCAGCCCUUUUGAGAUGCUGCUGACUACCCACUUAUCUGCCAAGUUAGCCAGUGUUAAGCCAUGGAUUCACCACGCUCAGAUAAAACCUGCCCCUCUGGGAUCCCUCCAGAAAAAAACAGGCAUGCUGUUGUGAACCCUAAGAUGGCCUUAAGUUAAUAUUCAAUGCCCAGCCAAAGACCCUAAAUAAGAAGUCAUAAAGGAAACAUGUGCUUUUCAGGUUGGUAUUAUUCUCCCCAAAACCCUUCUUGCAUGCAGGAUGUAAUGAAUCAGAAAUAGUUGUUAGUAAUUUUUUUUUUUUUGAGACAGAGUCUCACUCUGUCACUCAGGCUGGAGUGCAGUGGUAUAAUCUCAGCUCACUGCAACCUCCACCUCUCAGGUUCAAGCAAUUCUCAUGCUUCAGCCUCCCAAGUAGCUAGGACUACAGGUGUGCACCACCAUGCCCAGGUAAUUUUUGUAUUUUUAAUAGAUACAGGGUUUCACCACGUUGCUCAGGCUGGUCUUGAACUCCUGACCUCAAGUGAGCCACAUCUGCCUCAGCCUCCCGGAGUGCUAGGAUUGCAGGUGUGAGCCACCACACCCAGCCAUGAAUCAGAAAUACUUUUUAAUAGGCUUAGGAUUGUUCUCUUGGAUUCCUUAAGGGAUCCACUUUAAUUCUUGGGUGUUUUUUUUUUUUUUAAUCAUGGUGCUCCAACAAGCGGGAUGCCAGUCAGGUAAUCCUGAGCACUUCAGAUUCAGGGGUGAUGUUUGCAUUUCCCAUCAUUAUCCCACAAUGCACCCCUUAGCAUUAAGUAGCCAAAAAGGCAGACAACCAUAUUCCCCAUGAUCGAAAAAUUGAUGAAUAGAAAAAAGGGGAUUAAAACCAGCCCAAUUGUCCCAUAGAAAUGAUAUUACGGUUUUUAAAAGAAACAUAAAAAUUAACCUUCCUGUUUUUAAAAUUUAAAACUUACAUUUAUCUCAUCUGAAUUCCUUCCUCAAAAAACAGACACUCAGGCAAAAACAAAAACCUAAAACUCAUCAGAUCACUGUAUCCAGACAGAGACGCCAGACCCCUCAUCCAUCAUGAUUGCUUCUAUACUCCUCCUUAAUUCCUAUUUUCCCACCUUUCCUGCUAUACAAAACCCCCAAUUUUAGUCGGUCAGACAAACACAUUUGAGACUUUAUCUCCUGUUCUCCUUGGCUGCAACACCCCGUUAAAGUUUUCUUCCCUGGCAAUAGUUACUGUCUCAGUGAUUGGCAUUCUGUGUAACAAGCAGCAGAACCUAGACUGGAACCCUGGUGUUUCAGUAACAUUACCUUGUAGUAAAUGCUGUUGUGUCAUGCCCAGAUUCACUUUACCAAGCCCAGAUCCCACAGAUUAAAGGGCUCAGCUCCACAAGACUUCAGACACCAGCCACAAAUGGGGUCCCCAGGUGACCCACACUUCUGCCCAGUGGACUAUAAAUUCAAGGGUUCUGUGACUUUCCCUACCCAGCUUUGAUAAUUCACUAGAAUCCUCACAGAACUCAGGAAAAUGCCAUACCUACUAUUACACUUUAUUAUGAUGGACACACACGAGCAGCCAGAUGGAGGGGUACUGAGGAAGCAUCUGAAUGCAGGAGGCUCUGUCCCUGGAGAGUUGGGAUGAGCCACUCUCCUGGAUGUGUUCACCAACUCAGAAGCUCUCCAAGCCCCAUUGUGUAGGGAUUUUUUAUGGCAGUUUCAGUAAGUACACAUGAUUGAUUAAAUCAUUGGCCAUUGGUGAUUGAACUCAAUCUCUAGCCCCUCUCCUGCUCUCAGAGGUGGAAGAGCAAGGCUGGAAGUUCUAACCUUCUCAGUACAUGGUUGGUUUUUCCUGUGUCCAGGUCCCAUCCUAAAGCUACCUAGGCCCCCUCUGCCCAACAAGAGUCUUCUCAUUAGCAAAAGAGUAAUUUCCAAGGGUGUUAGGAGCUCUAUGCUGGGAACCAGGGACCAAGAGUAAAUAUAUAUUUUGUAUUUUACCACAGGUACCAAUCACCCUCCAGAUCUAAGAAUGGCUUCAGGCUGGGGCUGCAGUCACCUCUUUGCCCAGCUUCUCCCCUGCCCUAUUCUGCUUCACUUGCAUCCUUAAAGGUUCCACCCAAGAGCUCUUCUACAAGAAAGCACCUAUAAAGCCAGACACAUUGGCUUAUGCCUAUAAUCCUAGCACUUUGGGAGGCCAAGGUAGGAGGAUGGCUUGAGGCCAGGAGUUCAAGACCAGCCUGGGCAACUUAGUGAGGCCCCGUCUCUAUAAAAAAUAAAAAAAUUAACCAGGUGUGGUGGUGCACGUCUCUAGUCUCAGCUACUCAGGAGGCUGUGGCAGGAAGAUGGCUUGAGCCCAGGAGGUUGAGGCUGCAGUGAACUAAGAUCAUGCCACUGCACCCAUCUUGGGCAACAGAAUGAGAUCCUGUCUCUAAAAAAAUAAAAACAAUUUACAACAGUAAGCACCUGUACACAAGCCCCAUCUCCAGUCCUGUUUCUAGGGCUUCCAAUUUAACACACCUAGAGGCUGGGCAUAGUAGCUCAUGCCUGUAAUCCCAAUACUUUGGGAGGCUGAGGCAAGUGAAGCACUUGAGGUCAGGAGUUCGAGACCAGCCUGGCCAACAUGGCAAAACCCCAUCUCUACUAAAAAUGCAAACAUUAGCUGGGCAUGGUGGCACAUGCCUGUAAUCCCAGCUACUCGGGAGGCUGAGACAGGAGAAUCACUUGAACCCAGGAGGUGGAGGUUACAGUGAGCCAAGAUCACACCACUGUACCACAGCCUGAGCAACGAAAGAAGACUCUGUCUAAAAAAAGUAAAAAAUAAAAUAAAACACACCUGGAGCUUUCUA